UUAGUUAGGAUUAAAUUGAAAUUAAAGUAAAAGUUAGAUAAAAAUUUUAGCAAUUAAAUUAUGUUGUGCUAAUGAUUGUGAAAUUAUUUUAAUUUUUCGUAGCUAAUAUCGAGCCUGAAGCAUCGGCCCAAAAAGGAAAAGAAAAGAUCGUCGAGGAUUAAAUUCGAAGAGAAUUCUGGUUGUAGAAGUCAAGUACUGAACUAGCAUCCAAAGCCAGACCCGACUUCAGCAAAUUUUUG